UCAAAGCAGAAACCUUUAUAGAUAGUUACACAAGUACCCAAAUAAAACCUGUUUCAUUUGCUGUAAGAAAUUUGACUGUUGCACAAUUAUUCAACACCUUUAGGAGACAAUUUCCAACAUUAAGUUUAUAUUCCUUAUGUUUUCAGUUUUAUGACUGACCAAGAACUUGUCUUGGUGCUUUGAUUUAAGCAUGGUGGCCACUUCCUGCAGGUUUCUGCGGUACCGUGGCUCCUCCAGGUCUGGUGGGAAGAAGACAGAGAUGAUCCUCUCCGUGAUGUAGCAGCUGGUUUGAAGAAGAGACUGUCAGCACAGAUUUGGCUGUUCAACAUGAUGGAAGGAAGAGGGGAGAGAGACGGACAAACUUUAGUGGAGGAAGACUCUACAUGUGGCGUGCAGUCCUUGUGGCCUGCUGGUGAGCCAACAGCAACUUGCCAAAACCACAAACACACGUACACACAGAGCAAGAGAGACAGAGGGAAGCUGAGGACAUUGAAACGGGCUACAGCCACUAGUAUACAAAUAGACUCGGUUGUUUAUUAGGAGCAACAGUUGACCCUGACAAGCAGUGACAAGCUAGUUGAAAACUGGUAUGUCAGGGGCGUGUUUUCCGACUCAUUUGAUGGUCUCAUUAUAAUGCCAAUCACAUCAAAUGAAUAAAAACAAGGUGGAAAAAAAAAAAUGUAUACAUUAAUAAUAACCUAACACAUGGAAAAUGAAGGAAAUGAGCUGAGAAAUGUAAACAAACAUAUAGUAUCACAGCACACCUAUGGGCUCCGACUGUAAACCUUGACAGGUGACACCCUGUCAGCAUCUGACCUUUGAAGUAGCCCAUGAGAUUGAUUGACAGCAGAGCUACCCUCUGUGGCUGAGUGCUGGCCAGUGCUGACAGGUGUCAGGCAACAGGUUAACAAGUCAGAUGCCUGUCAAUCACAGUGAUCUACCGCUGAAACAGCCUCAGGAAAACAACAGCGACUGUGCAGAAAAACACUCAACAGAAGUUUUAUGUUGACAGAACAAACCAAAGGAAUGAUCUAAAUUGUUUUCUUUACUACAUUUUUCAUUUCAAAUUUUGGAUUGGUGGUAUAACAUCCAGGUAGAUGUUGGUUUUAAGGACUCAUUUGUAAACCAUUCUUGCUCUAAAAUUGACAGUAAUAAAGGCACAUAAUGCUCGCUA